AAUUGGUGGUGGAAAUAAGGCCCACCCCGUAAAUAAAAAUAAGUUGAAAACCUUUCUGGAUCAAACACUACAACACAAUAAAUUCUUCAUCCCUCAAAACUCCUCUUCAGUGAACCCUCUUCUCUAAAACCUAAAUAUACAAGCUUAGCUUUCUCUGUACCAAUGAUUCACCACUUGAAAUCUCUAUUAAUGGGCGAUAUUUGUAGUUCGAUCUAUUCCAAAGAAGGGUCAAAGCUUUUAUAUUUGUAGUGGUUGACGCUAAAUUGAGAUGCAAAACAUUGCAUCUGCGAUUUCGCAAAUUGGAAGAAACCUUCAUGUUUCUUCUAUUUCACCUCUAUGAAAUUCUUCAGUUCAUUGUGGAAGUUGCGGUAUUGAGGUUUUCUGUGUGAAGAUCAGCUCUCCUCCAUGGACUUGAAACUAACUAGAUUUGAAUUUGCUCGAAAUGGUUGUUGGACCUUUCUCUUAUAAUAUGAGAACUGCUAACUGCUGGUUUUGGAAUUCAAGGAGCCUAAGCAGAUAAACAAAUAAGACAUCAUUUACAUCAAUAUUAUUUGAUAGAGGAUGCUGAUUUUUUCUUCUUUGUUUUUCGUGAAAGUGAUGUGCAAAUAAUGACGUGACUGAUGUAUUAUUGUUUAUAUAUAUAUAUAUAUAUAUACAUACGCGAAAGCAGAUUAUUGGUA